AAAACAUGUCUUUUUGAGUUAAUUUUAAAGUCUGACCUGCCCACUGAAAUUAUUUAAAUGGCCGCAGUAUUCUGACUGUGCAAAGGUAGCAUAAUCAUUAGUCUUUUAAUUGAAGGCUGGUAUGAACGGUUGGACGAGGUAUUAGCUGUUUCAUGUAAAUUUAUAAUAAAAUUUUAUAUUUUAGUUAAAAAGCUAAAAUUUAAUUAAAAGACGAGAAGACCCUAUAAAUCUUUAUACCUUAAAUUAAUCAAAUUUUUUAGAGUUAUUUUAUUUUUAUAAUUUGGGGUAUUUUGUUGGGGUGAUAUUAAAAUUUAAUGAACUUUUAAUUAUUUAAAUCAUUAAUUUAUGAAUUAUUGAUCCAUUAGUAGUGAUUAUAAGAUUAAGUUACUUUAGGGAUAACAGCGUAAUUUUUUUGGAGAGUUCAUAUCGAUAAAAGGGUUUGCGACCUCGAUGUUGGAUUAAGGUAUAUUUUAGGUGUAGCUG
rnacentral:rRNA from 1 species